UUCCAUCUUCUUCAACAUCACAACUGCAGGCACAUCAGUCAGUUUUUGCAAACAGGCAGAAUCAAGGAAGUGUGAUUGAUCCACAUUCUCUUUGUGAUGAGCUGCUAGAGGAGCCUUGUAAGACUGUGGAGGAAUUAGAAGAGCUGUGUAAUAAGCUGAAAGAUCCUGACUAUCGAAAGAAGAUGAUUCGUUAUCUGUGUCUUCAGAGUGGAGGCAGCUUGGGAGGUGGAAUUAGGAGGAUGCUGAAAAAAUUGGAGAUAACUCCUUAUGGGGACAGUACGGUUACAAAGGGAGAAAGGGAAAACUUAAAUUUCAGCACCUCCUUAUCAAUGAUGUCAUCAUACGUGCCUGCAGUAAGGCAUACCCACGCCAAAAAACCCAGAGUGUGGAGGAAAUGAAUGCUGUGACCCUAAAACAUGCCCCA